CCAAGCUUCAUACAGUCCUCUGACUAUUAUUCACUGCUAAAGUUUUGUGUAGGUACUAGAGAUACAGCCAGGAGCAGUAUGAGGCUCAUCAAGAAGAAUUACAGAGUUAUAGGAGUGGUAAAGGACUAUGGAGCAGAGGUUAAAGGGGUCCCAGAUCCCUGUGAACAGCAGCAUCAAUCAUAUGCAACACUGCACUUCUGAACUAUGUAUCAGGACCAGAUUUGUGUAAAACAUCUUCAUUCCACAGCCCGUGAUUGUGCAAGUAUGUACUGACAUCUGGUGGACGUUUGACCAAACAUUUCAGUAAAACACUGCGACUACAUAAUGCUCAUUCAAAGAAAGCACUUAGAGUGGGUUUCAUUGCAUUAGUUCUGAGUCAUCUUUCCAACAAAACCUAUGGGAGAAAACAAAGCCCCAGUAAAGAUUUCAAUGUCAAGAUUUCUGUUUCUACCACGCUAUUUGGGAAGAAAAUCUUUCCAAAGAAAGUCUAGUUAUUUUCUGGUUUUAUUUGUAAACAAAAACACCUUUUAAAGUAUAUACAACAGCACGAUCAGAGCAUUUAGACACAUAUGACUAAAUUCACAUAUGUCCAUAAGGCAGUAUGUGACAGAGUUUAGCCCAUCUCUACUUCAGAAACCCCCACAUUAUAGCACUUGCCUGCUGCUAGUCUGUGAGGCUGUGCUGAAUGAGCACCAAUCUCU